AGAAUCAACGCUGGCGGCGUGCCUCAGACAUGCAAGUCGAACGCGAAAGUCCCCUUCGGGGGACAAGUAGAGUGGCGCACGGGUGAGUAACACGUAGGUAAUCUACCUUCGGAUGGGGAAUAACAACCGGAAACGGUUGCUAAUACCGCAUAAUGCAGCGGCACCUAAUGGUGACAGUUGUUAAAAGCGGGGGAUCGAAAGACCUCGCGUCUGAAGAGGAGCCUGCGGCGGAUUAGCUAGUUGGUAGGUAACGCCUACCAAGGCGACGAUCCGUA
rnacentral:rRNA from 1 species